AUGGCUUCUCGGCCUUUUGGCUAAGAUCAAGUGUAGUAUCUGUUCUUAUCAGGUAGUCCACUGGUAGGAAUGGAUGGCUGCAUGGAGGAGCAGGGGUGUCGGGGCGUUCCGGGGCUGGUGCCACAGAACCAGCUCAACGGCUGCUCUGAUGUGCUCUGUUUCCUCCAGGUCUGGCCAUGAGGUU